UGGUUAAAAUCAGUUAGAAGGU
rnacentral:siRNA from 1 species